GUUCUUUUCUUUAAAAGUAUUCUUGUGUGUCAGUGAAUCUUCGAGCUGGUGUUAGGAUCUUUCUAACAAUGGUAUCAGAGCCUUGGUUUUAAGGCGUGAAUCAAAAGUUUGAGCUCGAAGAUCAAGAUUCCAGAUUUUGAAGAAGUCACCGUAGAUCCAAAGGAGCUAUGGUCUCGAUGAAGUUUGAACUUGAAAAGUUUGAUGGCUCGGGUGACUUUGGACUCUGGAGAAAGAAAAUGAGGGCAAUCUUGGUUCAACAGAAGAUUGCAUGCGACAAUGGAGCUGUUGAACUAGUAUGCUUGGACAGCGAGAGCUGGGAGACUCUAAGUGAUGAUUCCCAACUGGAAAGGCUUUCUUGCUACAACUAACGUCCAUACCUUAGAUAUUUCAAUAUUUCUAAGCAGAAGAUGAAACUAGAAAACUCCAAUUUUCUCAUGGCAGUUGGAAAACACCAUUAUGUGGAAUGCGAAAAACAUUACUUUGCUAGAAGAAUGGCAACUAGUUGGCAUUGAGAAACCCAAACAAGAGCGAGUUAGUUGGCUUCUCAAGGAUGAAGUCUCCAAUGUCCAAGUUGUUGCAGUGGUAGGAAUGGGAGGGUUAGGCAAAACCACUCUUGUAAAUCAAGUCUAUAGAGAUGACGAAGUCAAGCAACGAUUCCAACACCGUGCUUGGAUUACUGUUUCCCAAUCAUUCGAUCUACGGGAGGUUCUUGUAAAAAUAGUUGAACAACUCCUAAGAGGGAUCGCACAGCCAAUUCCGAAUGAAACAUAUUCCAAGGAUAUACUUUCUCUGAAGCAAGACAUAAUUUGUUUCCUUGGUGAUAAGAAGUACUUGAUUGUCUUGGAUGAUCUAUGGAGUGUGGACUCAUGGGAUGAUCUCAAAAACGCAUUUGUCUCGUUUGUUUUACAAAAUGUCGUUCCUUAAUGAAUUGCCAUGCAAUAUUUGAUGUGUCGUUUUUGGUUUGAUUGUUGUCGUUUCUAAUUUAAUGCUGGAUUUUAUGAUGUUAUCGUUUUUUACAUGUGCCCCUAUUCUCUAGCAGGUAGUUUACAUAGUUGUUUUGAAUAAAAUUUUACU